GCCGACGCCGCGUUGCGUGCGGAGUCGGAUGGGACCUGGCGCGCUGCGGACUCGGCGACCCGCAGACCCGCUGCCUGUGAGCUGGCCGAGACCUUCGGAGGACGCUUCCUGGAGGAGGCCGGAACAUGGAGGAGGGAAAAGGUGGUGCGGAGCGCCUAGGUGGGAACAGCUUUCAGGAGCCAGGACAGGAUGCCCGGAGCCCUGACAGGAUGACAGUGGCCACUUCAUGCCAGGGUGUCCCAGCCUGGCCCGCUUCUCUGCUGCUCGGUUUUUAUGGUUGUGUGUGACAGCAGGAUCUCUAAGUUCCCAGCCUUAGACUGAAUGUGGAAGCUGCAAAAAUAAUUUGGUAGAAGCAAAAGGCUUUUGAACAGCUCAGAAAACACUUCGUGAAGACACCCUGCAGACUGCGCUGUCAACUGUAUGUAACAAUAAGCACACGCGGCUCAUUGAUAUGUCAUUUUCUUUCAUACUUAAUAGUAAAGUUAUGUUGCCAAUG
rnacentral:lncRNA from 1 species